UCCACAGGGAGAAGAUCCUGGGAUCUAUGUUCCAGGAUUUGAUGGUCAGUUAACAGACGUCCAGAUGUGGGAUUAUCCUCUAAGCUACAGAGAAAUCAUCCAAUACAUGAGGCCGGGCACCUACGGGCCGUCCCGUGGCUCUGUCCUCACUUGGUCCCACAUCAGCUACUCUCUCAGUGGAAACGCGCUGUUGGAGGACACGUACGAGAAGCAGGAGCAACAGCCAAUCAGCAAGAGGGGGAGGGGGCGUGGACUGAGGGGAGAGAAGAAGAGCAGGAUGGUUUUUUGAGUGGAGGAGAGUAAGAAAAGAGAGGGAGAGCUUCAGUGAAUCACACAAGCAGAUGGAGAGCAAGCUGCAUCCUCUGUUCCUCAUUUCAUCCUCCAAUAAUAACUCAGAAUGAAUCAAUAAUCAGCAUUUAUCCAAAUCAAAUCAAACGAUUUGAUACGAUUAUAUUUACACAUAAACAGUGCUGACUAGUCUCAGUUAUACCCUGGAUUCUACAUAUUCAGUUAAUUUUUGCUAACACUUUUGAUUUUUGUGACUUCUCCUUAAGUGAGGAACAUGUGACAUUUUAGGGAACUGAUAUCCUCGAGUAUAUGGGACAUAUUUAGGGAACUGACAUCCACGAGUGUGUGAAAGGUGCUGCAGCUAAACUGGAUUCAAGGGAUCAGAUGUUUGCCCUCGGCUGAGCGACAUCGUGCCACUGCCGUGUGGAUGAACUCCACUCAGCAUCGAGAGGAUUCAAACAAUGUUCAAGUUCCAAAUCAAGUUAACACAAGACUGUGGUUGACAUCUUUGCAUUUGAUUAAAAAACAUGUGAGCGUCAAUAAAGAUCGACUUCAUCAACACGUC